GGGGGUGUCCCCGGGCUCUACCUCCCGCGGCUGGGGCUACCCUCGGAGCCGCGGACGCCGCGGCGUGCGCCUGGGGCCUCCAAAACUGUUUCCAAACUGCCAGGACCGGAGGUGGGCGCGUGGGGGCUCUGAGGGAAAUGGCUGGGUUUUGUUUUUUGUUUUUUGUUUUUUUUUUUUGUCGGGGAGUGUGAUUGUUUAGACUCUGGGAACCAUGGGGGGGAGGCAAGACGACUCAAGACGAGUUGCAAUCGAGGUAUCUGCUCCGGCUUCCUCCUCUGCCCUGAGACCCCCUCCUCCUUGGAGCUGAGCUAGGGAGGGGAAACCAGGAUUUUAACCAAAUUAGCAUUCACAUUCCUGGGAGGAUGUAGCCCUCGCCUGGACCUGGGUGAUAGAAGCUUUUUGCUCUGUUUUUAUUUUUGGAGAGGAGCGCCCUGUAAUUGUCCUAAACACAUGCUUCUCCCCCCCCCUUCUUCCUCCACCAGCAGAGGAGAGAGUCCCCCUUUUUUGCAUUUAUCUUUUCCUUCCCCUUUCUUUAUUAAAGGUCCGGGAGCGGCGGCGGCCAAUCAGCGCGCGGCUUCCAUUUUGUGAGUUCAACUCCGAGGCUCCCGGGCUUCACGGGGACGCAUUUGCAGCCCCCUCUGCCUCUCCUCUCGGGCCGCCGAGGCGAAGAAGCCGCCUUGCUGGGGCUUCGUGGUGGUGUAUUUCAUAUUGGGGCUCUUUUCGGGGUUUGUAAUUUGGCCGUGGGUAGGUAAUUGGCUGGAGCAGGGCGGCAGGGCGCGGCAGCCAAUCAGCGCGCGGCUUCUAUAGGGCUUGAGUUAUUAGACGCUGAUCUCAAAACAUCGUUCAUCAGACACCAAGGAGAGGCCAACAGAUGAGGGGAGCCAUUUUUCUGCAAUGGAAUUAAAUGGCCAAGUGGGUUUUUCCUUUGUUGCAAAUGGGGAAUGUUUUUCCUUUGACUCCACCAUCCAGUUCAGGACGCCUCAGUGUUGUGUUUAACAUUUGUCAACAGGCUAAAGGACUCAAAAUUGGAAGAAUGAAGAAGACUUUUUAAAAAGAUCUGGAUUUUUCCUUAUGACUUGGAAUCCAUCUUUGUCUUGUAUAACUAGGUCAUAGCACACCAUUAAUGUCAGCAGUUAACAAUUUUGAAUUCCAAAAAACCUAAAGCAGUAAACAGUCCUCAGCGAAGCCGCCUUUUGCCAACCCAACCCUGGAAAGUUUGCAGAAGUGGAAGGAGCAGAAAAUGCCAUGAGAGUGUAACUUACAAAAAGGUAACAACAGGAAAGACACCACCAUUCUCCCCCAAAUCCUAACUAAACAAUCCCCCCCAAAAGAUAUUUUUUACAUAACACGUCCAAAACCUCCGCCCAGCUUGAUCUUCCAGACUCCAUGGCACCGGGCUGAGCGGGCUUUUGGCUGGAGGAAGGGCAACAGCCCGGUACCUCCAGAGUGAACCACCCUCCUUUGGACAGCAGGAGCAGGCCUGAUUUCACUCUGACAAUAAAGGUAGGUGUGAGUCCUUUGCCAGCCUGUGAGGGAGAUGUGGGGGGCUUGGGCCUGGAGCCCAGGGAGGGCGGGCACCCCAAACCCGCUAAGCUGGUUCUGCAGCCCCUCCCCCUCACAGAUGUGCGGGAGUGUGUGUGUGUGUGUGUGAGAAGUCGGCUCCCUGCUGGGCCUGCUAGGUCCAUCCAUCCCCGCCUGUCAGCUUCUGUUGUCAAGCGUUUGGGCCGUGCAAUUCUCUGCCGUAUUGAGCCGCAUAGGAGACUGCUUGCAAGCAUUUCCCACUUGUGUGUUGGGGGUGGGGGGUGCGCGGAGGGCCCUGGGUGCCUCUUCUGAAAGGCACUGUCUGCUGCCAGGAAGCCCGGCCCUACUCUGGCCCUCCCUUCCGGUGCUGAGUGGGGGCGUGUGGGGUGACUGUGUGAGCCGGCCUCUUCCCUCUGCUGUCUAGCUGCUAGGGAGGUGGAGAACACGAGGACCUGAGAUCUGGGGCCAGCUUCUUCUUGAGAAAGAGGUUUCUUGACCCUUCUCCCCAUUCCUGGGAAUUCCACCUUUCUCUGCGCCACCCCCCCCCAAAUCCUGUUUCUAAAAUCAGACAAAAGGAUUUGAAACCUGGCUAGCCACUUACGUGCUGUAGCUCUGCUCGAGCUGCUUAGUCUCUGAGCCCGUUUCCCCCAUGCACAGAUGGGGCUGGGUCCUGAUUCCCAGUCUUGGGCAUGCGGGGUAGAACCCACCGCAGGGCCCAGUUUUCCACUCGGUAGGCGGGGUCUGAGAACUUGUAUUUUCUAACAAGGUCCCAGGUGAUGCUGAUGGUUGCAAGCCGAGGACACGUUUUGAGAACCUUUGGGCUGGGUAACACCAGGAGGUUUUGUGAGGACGGGAGCUAGUGCACUUGGAAACCCCAAGCUCAGGGCCGACCCAGUUGUUAGCUUCCGAGUGUUGGCCACUCUCUUCUUACUCAAGAGGACUGCUGAUCGUUUCCCACUGUCUCCAGGAAGCUCCACAGCUGGAGGUGGUGUGGCCCUUGAUCUCUGCCCUCUCCCCCCUGUGAUCUCUAGUUAAGGGAUUACUUUGAUGAACCAUUUGGGCCCAGGUGCCACCAGGCCUGCACCACCCCAUCAGGACUGAGGUCUGGCUUCCUUGUGGGAUGAGCCCGGCCCACUUUGAUCCCACCCCUCAGUGUGAGGGCUAAACUGAGGUUUGGGGGAGCCGGAAGGGCUUGACCUGGAGGUUUGGUUGAGAGCCACCUUGGCACUUGAUCAAGGGAGGCUCUAAGUCCAGUGGUUGUGCCGGUGACCUUGGGUGAGUCUCUCCUGUGUGCAAUGAUAAUAAAGAUGCAGGCUGGAAACAGGAGUGGGAGGAUUAAGUGCGAUUAAGGGGGCUUGGCCUCACGUUCUGGCUACACACUACUUGGCCUCCAUUCCCUUGUGGCUGCAGGGAGUGGGGGUUGGGCUGUCUCUGAGCUCCUCCCCCACCAACCCACCCCCAAGGCACGUGGCAAAGCCUCAGGGCAAAGGGGAAGACUAAGUUUUCCCUAGGCAGGGAGCCAGUUCCAUUUUUCCUCCUGUGUGGUUGGAGUCGGAGUGGUGGCCUGCCCUCAGCUGUUCCACGAUCAGGUCAUGAUUUGGGGUCACUCUCCCAGAACACAAGAGAGUAGAAGUGACUCACCCAAGGUCACGAGGCCAUCACUGGCAGCCAGGAUGGGAUUCCAGGUGUCUUGACUUGCAGCCCAUCGCCUGUGUCCAUGGCACCCCCCCCACCCCAGCUGUCUGGGUUAUUUUGGGCUCCCUCCCGUGCCAGCUGUCUGCUGGCAUCAUUGCCAGGAAGCUGGGGAAACUGUCUGGUUGAAAGUAACCAGCGUGGUGCUCUUGGCUCUUUCUGGCCCCUUCGCUCGGGCGCAUGAGGGUCUCCAGUCCCAGAUCAGCUGGGUUUGUCCAUCUUGUGCUUUGCUGGGCGUAUGGGGGGGGUUCACUCUGCUGCUGCACCUGGCACCAGACGCUCUUCCCCCUGUUGGCCGGUGGGGAGCACUUCGUAAAAGUUGAUGAGGUUCACAUUCUUCUUAUCCCAUGGGGCUCUUCCUUCCACUCCGGCUCCAAACUCUUAGGAUUUAAAUUCGGUUCUAUUGAAUUGCUUUCAACCCCCUUGAUCCUCACGUGACUGGCUUGCUGCCUGAGGGUGUCCUCCCUCCCUUUAGAUAGAGUCCUUAGGGCUUAGGGAGACAGGGGUCUUUAUGUCAUACAGGCAUCGGGUAGUUAAAUAAUUCGUUUAAACCCCCCCCAUCCUAGCCACAGCCUGAAGGGCUGUAGCCUGCUCCUCCACUCCCGCCCUUGGCACAAUUAGGGAGCAAUUAGGUGCGAAACUGCGGUCUGGUUGUGUGAGGGAGAGGUGUCCCGGUGACCUGUAAGGGUCAUGCCCCCCUCCCUACUUCCCUUUCUUUUUUUACCUCUUUCACCUUUCUUUGUCCCCCCCUCCCCCCACCCCAGCCCAUCACCUCCUGGGGGCAGGGAGAGGCGGAGCAGACUGUCUGUCCUCUGGCCGUGGUUCCUCCUGGCUCAGAGGCUGGCCCCGCCCCCGGUCUCCCAGCGAGCCCAGGGCGGGGCUGCUCCUGGCGCCAAUCUGGUAGGGCCAUCCUGGAGAGGGCCACGCCAGCGGAAGGGCGGCCCAAGGCUGGGAGGUGGCUGAACCUGCCUUGCUACUGGACACCAGGGUCCCGCCUCUUCCGGCCCAUCCACCGAGAGCCCCGGCCUGGAAUACGACCUUUUGGACCCUCUGGGUGGAGACUGGCUCUCCCUAGACCGUGGCUAGAGGCACCCCGCCAUCUUGGAGGCCGCCUGGGUCUGGCGCUGUUUCCAACCGGCCAGUGACCUCAGCAAGUCCCCGCCCCUAUGGGAGCUGAGGUUCUCCCCAUGUGAACCAGGAGGAAGAAGGUGGAUGAUGACCUUUUGAGCUGUUUCCGAGUCCGGCUUUGUAAGGAGAGCUUUUUGUGUCUCAGCAUGACCUCCCCAGCAGCACCACCAGGUACUGAGCCCUGGAGAGAGUCCUUGACUCCCAGGCUAUACCCCUGGCCACCUUCCAUCGCCGGUACCUCAAAGAAUAGCUCGGUUUCUUCUGUCUCAUCUGGGGUGGAUGACUUCUCAGGUGUGAGGUGACCUUUUAGGAUAUUCUGAGGUACCAGGGAAGUAGAAGCUGGAAGAGUUACCUUCCCCAUCCUGUGCUGAUCAGACUUUGACAAGACAGAAACGGAUCUGGCCCUUAGUUCUCUCCUGAGCUCUGCUGGCCUUAAAGUCUAGCACAGGCCAAGUGAGUUCACCCCACAGAUGUAUGCUGGCCUGCUCCCCUAGGCCUCAGUGUCGAACAGCUCUCUGUUAAGAUCCAACCUACAGACUCUUUCUUGUUUUCCUAAACCUCUCCAGGAAUUCCUGGUGACUAGAAGGUGAAUGACUUGGGUCCUCAGAACUGCUCACAGGUAAGGGAGCAGGGCUCCCCGGGCGUGUGGGCAGGCCCAGCUCCUCAGCCGGCCUGCCCUGGCCCAGCUGCCUCUGAGGAAGCUCUCAGCAGCUGGCCUGGCUCCUGGGUAUUUUUAGGUACAGAUCCAGCCCCUACACCACCACUGGAGCCCCGUCCAAAUCAAACACACUCCAGGCCGUGUGGGGCUGGGGUUGUGCCAGCCUCUUGGCGAGCCGGGGGUGGGUGAGUGGGUGGGGGAACGGCUGGGGCCAGUGUCAGCUGUUCUGCCUCCAUGCACGCAGGGCUGGGAAGCCUUGCUUUUCCUCCCGGACAUCCCUCCCUCCCUCCCAUCCCCCCACCCACUCAGUUUUGUAGAAGCCAUUUGUUCUGUCUUAAGUUGGGAUCAGAGUCCUGUUUCUCAGAUGGAGAAAAUGGCAACUUGAGGUCAGGGAUUUUGAGGAAAUUUCGUCAGGAGGUGUGGUUAACCCCCAGGUGACAGUUUGCUUAGAGUGGGGCAACUGAACUCUCUCCCUCCCCUCCUCUUGCCCUCCAGCCCCUCCCUGAGCUUCAGGGUCCCUGAUUCAGGGUCAGGUGCAGGGCUGACUUGUGAAGGUAAGUGGUCCUCCCCUCACUCAGAGGCUUUUUCCAUCCUUCCUCUCCUGCUGGCCUCAGGCUGCCACUACAGAAGUGUGACCCCAGCCCUUCCUCACCAGCCAAUCACAGAUCCUCUUGGGUCACCAGAGAGCUUGCUGAACUGGCUUUGGCUGGGCACUUCUUUUCAGGAGCUUUCUGUCCCAUACCCUUCUUGAACCUGGCAGCAGGGCCCUCCCUGAUCUAACCCCAGUUACCUUGACAACCAUGUCUGGCCUCACUGCCCAGGUGCUGUGGAACCUGACUGGGUUUUCCAGCUACCGUGCCUUUGCCCAGGGUACCCAUCCUGCUCCCACUGGUCCGCUGUCCCAACACUGCUAGCUUGGGCUCAACCUUCCCCGAACCCUACAGAGGUUCUGGUCUCUAAAUUGUUCACAUCUCCCAGACUCUUUUGGACUGCUUCCCCAAGAUAGCUCCUUCCAGGCAGGAACACAGUUGCCUCUCAAUAAACUUGUUUUGCAAAAAAGGAA